GAUGAACGCUGGCGGCGUGCCUAAUACAUGCAAGUCGAGCGAACAGAUAAGGAGCUUGCUCCUUUGACGUUAGCGGCGGACGGGUGAGUAACACGUGGGUAACCUACCUAUAAGACUGGGAUAACUUCGGGAAACCGGAGCUAAUACCGGAUAACAUUUGGAACCGCAUGGUUCUAAAGUGAAAGAUGGUUUUGCUAUCACUUAUAGAUGGACCCGCGCCGUAUUAGCUAGUUGGUAAGGUAACGGCUUACCAAGGCAACGAUACGUAGCCGACCUGAGAGGGUGAUCGGCCACACUGGAACUGAGACACGGUCCAGACUCCUACGGGAGGCAGCAGUAGGGAAUCUUCCGCAAUGGGCGAAAGCCUGACGGAGCAACGCCGCGUGAGUGAUGAAGGGUUUCGGCUCGUAAAACUCUGUUAUUAGGGAAGAACAAACGUGUAAGUAACUGUGCACGUCUUGACGGUACCUAAUCAGAAAGCCACGGCUAACUACGUA
rnacentral:rRNA from 1 species